GGACGAACGCUGGCGGCGUGCUUAACACAUGCAAGUCGAACGGAAAGGCCCUGCUUUUGUGGGGUGCUCGAGUGGCGAACGGGUGAGUAACACGUGAGUAACCUGCCCUUGACUUUGGGAUAACUUCAGGAAACUGGGGCUAAUACCGGAUAGGAGCUCCUGCUGCAUGGUGGGGGUUGGAAAGUUUCGGCGGUUGGGGAUGGACUCGCGGCUUAUCAGCUUGUUGGUGGGGUAGUGGCUUACCAAGGCUUUGACGGGUAGCCGGCCUGAGAGGGUGACCGGCCACAUUGGGACUGAGAUACGGCCCAGACUCCUACGGGAGGCAGCAGUGGGGAAUAUUGCACAAUGGGCGGAAGCCUAAUGCAGCAACGCCGCGUGCGGGAUGACGGCCUUCGGGUUGUAAACCGCUUUCGCCUGUGACGAAGCGUGAGUGACGGUAAUGGGUAAAGAAGCACCGGCUAACUACGUG
rnacentral:rRNA from 1 species